rnacentral:rRNA from 1 species
CCUACGGGGGGCAGCAGUGGGGAAUAUUGGACAAUGGGGGCAACCCUGAUCCAGCCAUGCCGCGUGUGUGAAGAAGGCCCUCGGGUUGUAAAGCACUUUCAGUGAGGAAGAACGCCUGGUGGUUAAUACCCAUCAGGAAAGACAUCACUCACAGAAGAAGCACCGGCUAACUCCGUGCCAGCAGCCGCGGUAAUACGGAGGGUGCGAGCGUUAAUCGGAAUUACUGGGCGUAAAGCGCGCGUAGGUGGCUUGAUAAGCCGGUUGUGAAAGCCCCGGGCUCAACCUGGGAACGGCAUCCGGAACUGUCAAGCUAGAGUGCAGGAGAGGAAGGUAGAAUUCCCGGUGUAGCGGUGAAAUGCGUAGAGAUCGGGAGGAAUACCAGUGGCGAAGGCGGCCUUCUGGACUGACACUGACACUGAGGUGCGAAAGCGUGGGUAGCAAACAGGAUUAGCUACCCCUGUAGUC